ensembl:lncRNA
CCCAGUGAACCUGACUACUUGAUGUAAUUAGAGCCUGGCUUAGCUUUAGCGAUGAGGAGGGCUUCAGAGGGUGUCCAACUGCAUGCUUUCUGGAACAGGAAGAGCAGAGGUAAUGAGAAAUCACAUGUCCUGAACUUGGACUCAGAGAACAGGGAACUCUUCGGUGGGCGGUAGUGUUAUGGCUCGGGAGAUAGUGGAAGACAGAGGAGCCUGGUGUACUGCAGUCCAUGGGAUUGCAGAGUCAGAUGCGACUUAGCCACUGAACAACAACAGCAAGUGUUAUGCAGCCGAUAUGCCAUCUGAGGAACCUGGACUCUUCGAUUUGAAAUGACUCUGAGGGCCCUUCAGGUAUGUAUGUUCACCUGACAGAUGAUGAAUUGUGUGCCAUGAACAAAAGAUGUGGCUCCCAUUCUCC